UGCCAGCAGAAGCGAGCAGCAACAGGAGGAGCUGACGAUACAACAUCCUCGGCCUGCCUUCUUCGCCGUUCGUCAGCACGCCUCCGCAGGAUAUGCCUCUACCGCUAGGCGAUUUCGGGGCUGCGGUGGCCGAUUUUGUGCCCGUGGGCGAUUGGUUGUUUGAGAUAGUCCCCCUCGCUGCCUCGAAUCGUCCACGGCCCGGACAAGCGGAAGGGCCGCCGCUCGUCUCGCCGCCUCGCAUCGUCGCGAGGAGCCGUCUUCGCCUCUCUUUCAGCUGCUAUGGUACGCGAAAGAUCCGCCACCCUCCUCCCAGUUUUGUCCGUCCAUGGCCUGGUCAUCCCAUUCCCCUUUAUAUAUCUCUCUCUCUCAACUGCUUGGGAGGGAAGAAGGUGUUGGUGUUCAAGAGAUGGGGAGAUGGGGUGGCUGCUGGGAUUCGUUCACCUCCAUGGCUCUGUACCAAAAAUCCCCAAACCCUAGGUUAUUUCUGCAUGUUUAGGCCAUGAAUCGUCUCCUUCUCUGAAAUGAUGUUGAUGAUUCAUCUUCACAUAUCUGUUCGUUUUUGGGACCAGACUACCAAUUCAAUAGGCCGCUAGAUGGACUGGAAACCAGAUAUACUUUCUCUGCCAUUUCAGGCCCAUUGCGUGCCUAUUGCUAUCUCCUUGUGGACACAGGCAGGGAAAUAUCCUAGGGUGCCUCUUGCUGAAUUUAUCAAUUUUAUUCUAUUUGAAA